rnacentral:rRNA from 1 species
CUGGCGGCGUGCCUAAUACAUGCAAGUCGAACGGUCUUUCUAUGGAAGCUUGCUUCCACUGAGAAGAUAGUGGCGAACGGGUGAGUAACACGUGGGGUAACCUGCCCAUAAGAGGGGGGAUAACAUCCGGAAACGGGUGCUAAUACCGCAUAGUUUUCUUGAUCGCAUGAUUGAGAAAGGAAAGACGGCCUUUGUGCUGUCGCUUAUGGAUGGACCCGCGGCGUAUUAGUUAGUUGGUGAGGUAACGGCUCACCAAGGCGAUGAUACGUAGCCGACCUGAGAGGGUGAUCGGCCACAUUGGGACUGAGACACGGCCCAAACUCCUACGGGAGGCAGCAGUAGGGAAUCUUCCGCAAUGGACGAAAGUCUGACGGAGCAACGCCGCGUGAGUGAAGAAAAGGUUUUCGGAUCGUAAAACUCUGUUGUCAGAGAAGAACAAGUUGGAGAGUAACUGCUCCAGCCUUGACGGUAUCUGACCAGAAAGCCACGGCUAACUACGUGCCAGCCGCUGC